UAUUUUACUAUUAUGUGUUUAAAUGGGGGGUUGACUUGUCUAUAUACUGUUGAAAUAGUCAAUAAAUGGUUGCCAUGUUUCAAAAAAAAGGUUUUCUUGCUGUUUCAAUGAAAAUUUAAUCUUUUCUAAAUGUAAGUAUUGCAUUAUGUUUCUUAUCAAAUUAAGAUAUGUGGUUAAGAUAACAUGGUUUAAGUGUCUUUUUUUGUUUUAUUUUCAGCUUUUUUUUUAAUCUAUGCAUUUAUCAUUUCUGUAUUGAGUUUGACAAAUCUGCGUACAUUCUUUAUUGCUUUGACUGCAAUAUUUGAAAUAAAUCAAAUCAAUGAAUCAAUCAAUAGUUGGGUUUACUGAUGACAAAGUGAUUGUGAGACGGACGCGGCGCUCUGUCAAAAUGUCUGUUUUUGGUUACGAGUUGCAAACCAUGUAGGUGUUCUAUAAAUAAGCUAACAUGGAUACCGUGCAGGGGCGUCGGACUGGGGCUUUUUAUGUGUUACUAACAAGGUUGGGAGUUACAGGUACUGUAAAGAAUACACUAUCAUGGCUAACGCUUUUAAUAGCGACUCGUCGCAUUUCGGGCAGACACUCGGCAGAAUUGCAGGUUACUCCCCUAGGGCGGGUCAGUUAAUUAACCCACCUGCUUAGUGUCCUAUUUAAGUCAGGUGUGCAAUUGUUCAUUCUCUCUUACCUUCAGCGCUCAUUCUUUGCAGUUCCCUGUGCUCGCUGUUCUCUUUUCACUGUCCCACCGGUCCCUGUCGGAUCUUGUUGGAUCUUCAUCCUUUUCGCAGCAGCGCUGGGGUCCUCUUCGCCGAUUCACCGUGUUCGUUGUUCUCCUUCUGCGUCAUGGUGUCCUCCCCCGUUCUUCUGUUUGUUGGUUCCCCCCUUCUUACGGGGGGGGGGGACAUCCGUCUCCCCGCGUCUGCCCCUGUGUUUCGGCUUCCGGCUCGUGGCGCGUCUUCGGAUCCGCGGCUCUCGUGUCGCGUGCCUGCGUGUCGCGUUGGGUGUCUACGGAGCAGUGUCCUGCCUCAGUCGGGUUGUCUGUGGCGAUCGAUCUGGAGAUGUCUCGGCGUUUUUGGGUGCCGUAGUCGCCGGAAUGCUUGCACCUCUAUUAUCGGAUGCAAGAAUCAAAUCCGGCCGAGCCGCACUCCGUUGCUACGUGCGAUGUUGACCUUCCUCAUCAACAAUCUCCUUGGUUCUCGGUUAUACUUCCCAGUGCCUGCUCCUCCGUGACCUUCCGCAGGUGCGUCCCUUUGGAACUUUUGAAGGUUACUUCUCUUACCACUGGUGUACAUAAAAUUUGGUGUUAAGUUUUUGUGCAGGUUCUGUAUUUCACUGUCACUUCUCUGUUGGAAUUUUUGAUUAUGGUGGUUUCCAUUGUGCGAUGACUCCACAAUGGGACUUUUUCUUAACUUCUACCGAAUUUCGCUUCUCAGUAUUGUUCUUUUAAAAGCAGUGUUAUUCCAUUUUUUCUCAAGCAUUUUAAAACUGAUCAGUUUCUGAGUUAUUUGUAUGUUCUUUGCCAAGACUAAUACUGGUUUUGUCUUUAUCUAUGCAUCGCAUCCUGAGCCUGCGAACGCCUACUCCCCGGUCAGCUGCUCCAUUUCUGCCGAUUUUCACCCCUGCAUUCCCUGGUCUGGUGCUGCAACGAUGACUGCUCAACGCACCUAUUGCUGCACUGAAAGGGAAGAGGUGGUGGACCUCCUCUGCGUUCCAAGGACAUUUCUGGCUUGAAUCAAUCUAUGUCAGCGGCGGAAUGAGUGUGAAAUUCUUGGAUUAUAAAUGUUGGAAGAAAAUUAUUUGUCAGGUGGAAGCCUAAAAAAAAAAAAAAAAAAAAAAAAAAAAAAAAAAA